GUGCCUAACACAUGCAAGUCGAACGCGAAAGUGGAGCAAUCCAUGAGUAGAGUGGCAAACGGGUGAGUAACGCGUGGGUGACCUGCCUUCGAGUGGGGGAUAACGUUCCGAAAGGGACGCUAAUACCGCAUGACAUUCUGCCUUUGAAGAGGCGGCAAUCAAAGCUGGGGAUCGCAAGACCUAGCACUCGAAGAGGGGCCCGCGUCCGAUUAGCUAGUUGGUGAGGUAACGGCUCACCAAGGCGACGAUCGGUAGCCGGCCUGAGAGGGCGGACGGCCACACUGGGACUGAGACACGGCCCAG
rnacentral:rRNA from 1 species